rnacentral:lncRNA from 1 species
UUUAUACUAAGCUGGAAGAACUUGACAAAAAUACCCCUGCGGGUUAGUGCGGGUCGCACAGAAUGGCAUGGAGUCCCAUUAGGCUCUUGACUCUUCAAUUUCGACUUCUUUGAACUCAGGCUCCACGGAUCGCACAGAAUGGACUGCGGUCGCCGAGGCUUCUAAUGCGGUCCGUGCAUAAUGGACUGCGACCGCAUAGGCUUGAACUCUGCCAGUUGACAUCUCUCCUAACUU